CAGGCUAGUGGGAACUAUUGCACAAUCGGACGCAAGCCUGGGAUGGCAGCCAUGCCGCGUGUAUGAAGAAGGCCUUCGGGUUGUAAAGUACUUUCAGUCGUGAGGAAGGUGUUAAGGUUAAUAACCUUAGCAAUUGACGUUAGCGACAGAAGAAGCACCGGCUAACUCCGUGCCAGCAGCCGCGGUAAUACGGAGGGUGCGAGCGUUAAUCGGAAUUACUGGGCGUAAAGGGCACGCAGGCGGUUAAUUAAGUUGGAUGUGAAAUCCCCGGGCUUAACCUGGGAAUGGCAUUCAAGACUGGUUAGCUAGAGUCUUGUAGAGGGGGUAGAAUUCCAUGUGUAGCGGUGAAAUGCGUAGAGAUGUGGAGGAAUACCGGUGGCGAAGGCGGCCCCUGGACAAAGACUGACGCUCAUGUGCGAAAGCGUGGGGAGCAAACAGGAUUAGAUACC
rnacentral:rRNA from 1 species